UCGCCGUUUCCACAUGUGCCCGACUUCUCCUCCUCCUUUUUCCCCGAUCUCUUCUCCCCUCUCUGCCCCGACGCUAUCCCGAUCUCCUUUCUUCCCCUUCUUCCUCACUGCCUCUCUCUCGCGGACGAGCGACGCCGACAGAAGCGAGGCUCUAGCUCGGCGAUCUUUCUCCGCCGGCAUCAAUGCCUAUUGAGCCCAGAUCCGGCCGGCGUUUUUCUCUUCGGAUCGGCAUAGCAUCGCUUCUCCUCGCAACCUCGUCUCACUGCCAUCACCGAUCGCCAGCGGCUGAGCACCUCCUUCCACCACCGUCCACCAAAUCUGGGAGGGGAUCUAUUGGUUCGGCACUGCUGGAUUGAGCCGUGCCACCUGAUCGUCGGCGUGGAAGGGCAAUUAGGGUUUCGCGGGUAAGCAACCGACCUUCAUCCUUCUUCCCUCCUCUUCUCUGGAGUGUCUCGGAUCUGUGCCCUAGCACUGUCUGCGAAUCCCCAAUUUCUUCUCUGACUGACGGCGAGGUGCACGAGGUUGCCCUAGCAGCGAUCUUGGAGUGAGGAGGAAUUUUUGCAGGGAGGUCAUGCUAUGCUAUUCUUUGAUCUAAAUAAUUCUAUCAGUGAAGGGUGCUUGAGUUGUCGGGCAAUGCUUAGAAGAGUUGCUGCUGGAUCAGUGAUCUCCUUGAUUGAUCCCUUGUUGUAAUCCGAUUGAUUUCCAGUGAGGUUGAGUGUCCUGUGGAUCUAGAAUUGGGUUCUGUGGCUUCUGGGUUCCGGCAGCACCUCAACCAGUAGCUCCUCUGGUUUCAACAAUCAACAGUGGUUGUUAAUUGAGGAUCUUGUCUGGUCCAGCAGGGCACUUUGUUUUCCAGCAGCUCAAUUGAGGACUCUGAUUCGAGACGGGCGUCUCGACUUUGGAUAGCUUGAUUGUACCUUCUAUUUGAGG